UACGUAGGGCGCGAGCGUUGUCCGGAAUUAUUGGGCGUAAAGAGCUUGUAGGCGGUUUGUCGCGUCUGCUGUGAAAGGCCGGGGCUUAACCCCGUGUAUUGCAGUGGGUACGGGCAGACUAGAGUGCAGUAGGGGAGACUGGAACUCCUGGUGUAGCGGUGGAAUGCGCAGAUAUCAGGAAGAACACCGAUGGCGAAGGCAGGUCUCUGGGCUGUAACUGACGCUGAGAAGCGAAAGCAUGGGGAGCGAA
rnacentral:rRNA from 2 species